rnacentral:rRNA from 1 species
CAGGUCUUGACAUCCUCUGACACUCCUAGAGAUAGGACGUUCCCCUUCGGGGGACAGAGUGACAGGUGGUGCAUGGUUGUCGUCAGCUCGUGUCGUGAGAUGUUGGGUUAAGUCCCGCAACGAGCGCAACCCUUGAUCUUAGUUGCCAGCAUUCAGUUGGGCACUCUAAGGUGACUGCCGGUGACAAACCGGAGGAAGGUGGGGAUGACGUCAAAUCAUCAUGCCCCUUAUGACCUGGGCUACACACGUGCUACAAUGGAUGGUACAAAGGGCUGCAAAACCGUGAGGUCGAGCCAAUCCCAUAAAACCAUUCUCAGUUCGGAUUGUAGGCUGCAACUCGCCUACAUGAAGCUGGAAUCGCUAGUAAUCGUGGAUCAGCAUGCCACGGUGAAUACGUUCCC